ACGUCGGUGGUGCAGUGGUAGCACGCGUCCCCGACAUGGAUGAAACGCGGUUCGAUUCCCGCCUGAAGCU